ensembl:snRNA U6 U6 spliceosomal RNA
GUACUCUCUUUGGCAGCAUAUUUACUAUAGUUGGAAGGAUGCAGAGAAGAUUUGCAGGACACCUUUACAAGGACAGCAUGCAAAUCCAUAAAUCCUUCCAUAUGUUA